UACGUAGGGUGCAAGCGUUAAUCGGAAUUACUGGGCGUAAAGCGUGCGCGGGCGGUUUUGUAAGUCUGUCGUGAAAGCCCCGGGCUCAACCUGGGAACUGCAUUUGUGACUGCAAGGCUAGAGUACGGCAGAGGGGGAUGGAAUUCCGCGUGUAGCAGUGAAAUGCGUAGAUAUACGGAGGAACACCAAUGGCGAAGGCAAUCCCCUGGGCCUGUACUGACGCUCAUGCACGAAAGCGUGGGGAGCAAACAGG
rnacentral:rRNA from 1 species